rnacentral:tRNA from 1 species
GCCACGGUGGUCUAGCGGUUAGAACGCUGGCCUUGUAAGCCUGGGGUCCCGGGUUCGAUUCCCGGCGGUGCCC